rnacentral:rRNA from 1 species
GACGAACGCUGGCGGCGUGCUUAACACAUGCAAGUCGUACGGUAAGGCCCUUUCGGGGGUACCCGAGUGGCGAACGGGUGAGUAACACGUGAGUAACCUGCCCACAACUUUGGGAUAACGCUAGGAAACUGGUGCUAGUACUGGAUAUGUGCUCCUGCUGCAUGGUGGGGGUUGGAAAGCUCCGGCGGUUGUGGAUGGACUCGCGGCCUAUCAGCUUGUUGGUGGGGUAGUGGCCUACCAAGGCGGCGACGGGUAGCCGGCCUGAGAGGGUGACCGGCCACAUUGGGACUGAGAUACGGCCCAGACUCCUACGGGAGGCAGCAGUGGGGAAUAUUGCACAAUGGGCGCAAGCCUGAUGCAGCAACGCCGCGUGCGGGAUGACGGCCUUCGGGUUGUAAACCGCUUUCAGCAGGGACGAAGCUUUUUGUGACGGUACCUGCAGAAGAAGCACCGGCUAACUACGU